GUUCGUGUCGAGGUCAUGUCGAUGGCUCAUUCACUAUAAUUGUCUUUUGCAUUAUUUUCCUGCAUUGAGAUAUCUGUAGAGGUUACGUUUUGUUAAGUAUAUGUUUUGUGUGUGUGUGUUGAAUUGGCAUUUCAAUACAGCUUAAUGUUUUAUUAUGUGUUUGUGGGGUUGCUGGAAAUUGCCCAAAAAAGGGCACGGUGUUUUGUGGAUGCAGUGGUUGACUGUCCUGCUUGGCGAUUUUUAAGACCACAUGUUAUGGACUUUACCGUAGAAACAACAUAUAUUUCCUACUGCACAAGAAUAUUAUGAAAGAAAUAGCGAUACCAUUUUGUUUGCAAUCUGUCAUCUGUUCGUUUUUUUGUUUUUGUUUUUUAAAUGGAAAAAACAGUCCGCACGAAUUAUUUUUCCCUAAUGUUUUUUGUUUUUAAAAUUUUAUUUAGCUACUUCUUUUUUUUUAGUCUGUUUCCAAAAUAUUACUCAGUGUUUGAAACUGAGUUGCAAUUUCUUUGUGAAAUGUUGCAAGUUAUUGUGAAGUGCGCACAAUGUUACAAAGGUGCAUUGGUCUGACCUAUUUUUGGAAUAAGUGUGUUUGAAAACAAACAGGCACUUACAGGCGUUUGUUGCCAUGGUUAUAUUACGGUUUCCAUUCGAGCACAUGCUGAAAUGUGACCCGAGCAGCGUCUACCAUGUUUGCAUGAAAGAAUGCGAAGUGACCACACUAUAGGAUUGCAAGAACGUGGCACAUGACCGACAGCUGUUUGGAGAAACGGUUCUUUCAAUCUGCUUCGACACAUGCAACGCAGAUUGGCCUAUGAGUCUCUGUACACCUACCCAGACUUCUGGAGGUCCUACCCAGUGUUGAUAGGUCCCCAGUACAGUGGGGUGCAGCUGAAGGUAAUCUCUGGACUUGAGAUUGAACCCAAGUCCGACUGCAGAACAGAAUUUUAGCCAAGUUCCCUUUUGGAAAGGUCCCAGCUUUUGAAGGAGAGAAGGGUUUUCAUAUUCAUGAGAGUAAUGCCAUUGCCCACUACGGAAGCCCUUCUGCGAUCAGGAUGUCCUGUGUUUACAAUGGAGCCGCUCCACCCCUUUACCAGUGGAGAGCCUUCUACCAUCCCUGAUCUCCAAGAAAUAUUUAAACCGAGCCCUACGAUUCACCCUCGGAAAAAAAUCCCAAACUAGCACAAAGUUGAAAAGGAAUAAGAUGGACUAUUGGAUUUUCAGUUUGGAUUUUUGCAAAAAUAAAAAAAAAACUACUUUAGUAUGUAACCGGACUCAGGAGUCUGAUUGGCUGAUUGACCCACGCAACCUGAAAGUAACCUAGACUGGUUUAGAAGCUCCAGCUUGCAUCUACCCCAGAUUGAAGAGAGGAGUGGCGGUAUUAAAUUCAUCCUACUCUUUUAAUAUAACUCUACCCUAAUUGUGGUCCUCUUGUAGAGCAGAGUACUUAAGAUCCUUUUAAAGAACCGAGUGAACCAACCCUGGAAAUAUGUGCCCAGUACUGGUUUACAAGUUAUGGGGCUGUUCCCACAAAAAAGGAAGCAACAGGAGUAUAUUGUAUAGUAUUGGAUGGCCUGACAGCAGAUGACUAUGAUGGCUGGAGAACAUCAAGGGGAAGAGGUAAGAGCCUUUGUGCACAGCAUCCUAAGGACCCAUGAGCCACAGUUUCACAAAUUUCAUUCCUUCCUUCCUGAUUCGGUACAAUAGUGCUAGAGAGAGCAGAGGUGUGGGCGCUGUGCUGUGCGGGGGAGACUGCGUGGCUGUUGAAUCAUUCAUCAUUUCAAAGGGCUUGUCUUGACUGGCUAAUAAAGCACUGUGUCUCCUUAUUGCAGACAACCAUGCAGGGUGUAAAACCAUGAAGGUCUUGGACAUGUUCCAACAUCUGGAGCGGCUUCGCAAGAAUGGCUUUGCCAUCAUGGCUGUCUUCGGGAAGGACGGAGAUGACUCCAUCUCUGGGGUCUGGCUCUUCAGAGGACAGCAGCUGGCGUUUGAGGAUUGUGAUGUUUCUCAGCUCUGCGAUGACUGGAAGGUGGAUUACGGCUCGUAUUCCUGGAGGAAGCUGGACCCUGACGGCGAGGAGUCCAAGACCCUGAUGAAGGAGUACCUAUGUUGGGAGGGAGAGUUUAAACACGUGGGCAAGCCCUUCAACCAGGG